rnacentral:rRNA from 1 species
AACGAACGCUGGCGGCGUGGAUAAGACAUGCAAGUCGAACGGGAUUAUUUUUGUAGCAAUACAGAAAUAAUUCAGUGGCGAACGGGUGCGUAACACGUGGGCAAUCUGCCGAAAAGUGGGGGAUAGCUCGCCGAAAGGCGAAUUAAUACCGCAUGUGGUGAGGGACGACAUCUUCCUGAAUCCAAAGCCGGGGCAACCUGGCGCUUUUUGAGGAGCCCGCGGCCUAUCAGCUAGUUGGCGGGGUAACGGCCCACCAAGGCUAUGACGGGUAGCUGGUCUGAGAGGACGACCAGUCACACUGGAACUGAGACACGGUCCAGACACCUACGGGUGGCAGCAGUCGAGAAUUUUUCNCAAUGGGGGAAACCCUGAAGGAGCGACGCCGCGUGGAGGAUGAAGGCUUUCGGGUUGUAAACUCCUGUCAUUUGAG